rnacentral:tRNA from 1 species
UAGCCUAGUGGUUAAGGCUAUGGAUCGCCAAUCCGAAGACGGCGGGUUGGAUUCCCGU